rnacentral:rRNA from 1 species
CUCUUCUAUUUUUAGAGGUUGGCCCUGCUCCAUGGUUUUAAAUAGCUGCAGUAUUUCUGACUGUGCUAAGGUAGCAAAGUCAUUAGUUUCUUGAUUGGAAGCCGGAAUAAACGGGUUGACAAUAUUUGAAUUUUCCAGGAGCGAGUGUGUAAAUUGAUACUUGCAUUAAAAAGUGCACCUACCUGGGGGGACGAGAAGACCCCGUAAAACUUUAUUUUUGGUUUUUUUUCUAUUUUGGACUGAGAUUUAGUUAUUGAGGGUUGGGCUGGGGCGGUACCUAAUAGAACUUUAAGGAGAUGAAAUACUUUUGUGUAGGACACAAGAUCUUCUGGAAGAUUUAGUAUAAGUUACUUUGGGGAUAACAGCACUAUUUUUUCCUACAGUUCUCAUGGAAGAAAAAGACUGUGACCUCGAUGUUGAAUUGAGGUACCGGAUCUAAGCAUAAAUAGGUUUAGGGGGUCUGUUCGACCUUUAUUUCCUC